UCUCUACCAUAAGUCGUCUCCAAAGGCAUUUCAGAGAAUUUGGCCGUACAUCCAACUGGCCUCACAACCGCAGAUCACAUGUAACCAACCAGCCCAGGACCUCCACAUUCAACAUGGUCAGCUCCUAGAUCGUCUGAAACCAGCCACCUGGACAACUGCUGCAACAGUCGGCUUGCAUAACAAAAGAAUUUCUGCACAAACUGUCAGAAAC